ACCUGGGUGGCUCAGCGGUUGAGCAUCUGCCUUUGGCUCAGGGUUCAGGGUAUGAUCCCUGUCCAGGGA
rnacentral:tRNA from 1 species